rnacentral:lncRNA from 1 species
CGACAACUUUAUUUUCUUAUGCAACUAAAACUAAAGGUACAGCCGAUGAUUGUUGUACCUAUGAAUUUCCCAAUAAACCGAGCUUGCUUAUAUAUCUAUAUCCACAGUUUUUUGCACAAGAACAAAAUCUACCAUAUGAUGACCCAAGCAUUUAAGUCGACUUUCACUGGCACGACCUCAUGAGAUAGCAAGAUUUGAUCGAGCAUGGAAGCAUGACGACA